AUUGAACGCUGGCGGCAUGCUUUACACAUGCAAGUCGAACGGCAGCGCGGGCUUCGGCCUGGCGGCGAGUGGCGAACGGGUGAGUAAUGCAUCGGAACGUGCCCAGUAGUGGGGGAUAGCCCGGCGAAAGCCGGAUUAAUACCGCAUACGACCUGAGGGUGAAAGCGGGGGACCGAAAGGCCUCGCGCUAUUGGAGGGGCCGAUGUCGGAUUAGCUAGUUGGUGGGGUAAAGGCUUACCAAGGCGACGAUCCGUAGCUGGUCUGAGAGGACGACCAGCCACACUGGGACUGAGACACGGCCCAGACUCCUACGGGAGGCAGCAGUGGGGAAUUUUGGACAAUGGGGGCAACCCUGAUCCAGCCAUGCCGCGUGCGGGAAGAAGGCCUUCGGGUUGUAAACCGCUUUUGUUCGGGAAGAAAUCCUCUGGGCUAAUACCCCGGGGGGAUGACGGUACCGGAAGAAUAAGCACCGGCUAACUACGUG
rnacentral:rRNA from 1 species